rnacentral:rRNA from 1 species
GACGAACGCUGGCGGCAUGCCUAAUACAUGCAAGUCGAACGAUGAUAUCACUGCUUGCAGUGAUUGAUUAGUGGCGAACGGGUGAGUAACACGUGAGGAACUUGCCCAUGAGCGGGGGACAACAUUCGGAAACGGAUGCUAAUACCCCAUAGGUGGAUUGGUCGCAUGACUAAUUCAUUAAAGGUGGCUCUGCUACCACUCAUGGAUAGCCUCGCGGCGUAUUAGCUAGUUGGUAAGGUAAUGGCUUACCAAGGCAGUGAUACGUAGCCGACUUGAGAGGGUGAUCGGCCACACUGGGACUGAGACACGGCCCAGACUCCUACGGGAGGCAGCAGUAGGGAAUCUUCCACAAUGGGUGCAAACCUGAUGGAGCAAUGCCGCGUGAGUGAAGAAGGUCUUCGGAUCGUAAAGCUCUGUUGUUAGAGAAGAACACGUGCUAGGUAACUACUAGCGCCUUGACGGUAUCUAACCAGAAAGUCACGGCUAACUACGUGCCAGCCGCCGCAGUAAAC